UGUUUAUUGGGGGUCUCAUUGGGGGGUUCCGAUCCCGGAUCCCGCAUACUGUUUUGUCAGAUUCCCGUAUCCCGCUUACACUAUGAACGUAAGCAAUUCUCAUUUUUUUGUCAUUUCCCGGGUCCCGCUAGACCUCAUUUCCCGUUUUCACGACACAAUAAUUGGACUUUCACGUGUCCCGCUUACAAAAAAUCUGCAAUCCCGCGUCACGCUUAGACCCCAAUGAGACCCACUUUAUUUUUUAUUAAAAGUACAAACCAACCUGUAAAUUCCAAAAUACCUCGUGCUGGGUCACUAAAGUCGAGCGCACCCUAAAAGGUGUACUUGAUUUGGUCCAUAUUUUUAUUUGUUUUAACCAAUAACUACAUUAAUAAACUUGUUUUGAGGAAAUCAAUGCUAGCACUGCAUGCAAUAAUCCUAUAUCUAUCAGUCAUCAAAUUGCCAAAUCUGAGAGUGCAAGGAUAAAGGCUGUGGAUUUUCUAUAAAAUUUCCAUAUGUUUAACAUUUAAUCAACACAAGGGUACAUAAUCCUUAA
rnacentral:lncRNA from 1 species